rnacentral:rRNA from 1 species
CUUUCAACAACGGAUCUCUUGGUUCCAGCAUCGAUGAAGAACGCAGCGAAAUGCGAUAAGUAAUGUGAAUUGCAGAAUUCAGUGAAUCAUCGAAUCUUUGAACGCACAUUGCGCCCCUCGGUAUUCCGAGGGGCAUGCCU